rnacentral:tRNA from 1 species
AUUUAAAUAGCUUAAUUAAGAGCAUAAUAUUGAAGAUAUUAAGGUAACUCUUGUUUUUAAAUA